rnacentral:rRNA from 1 species
CACGUAAGGGGCGAGCGUUGUUCGGAAUUAUUGGGCGUAAAGGGCGCGUAGGCGGUCCUGUAAGCCCGGCGUGAAGACCUGGAGCUCAACUCCGGGCCUGCGCUGGGACCUGCGGGACUAGAGUCAUGGAAGGGAAGUUGGAAUUCCAGGUGUAGGGGUGAAAUCUGUAGAUAUCUGGAAGAAAACCGGUGGCGAAGGCGAACUUCUGGCCAAUGACUGACGCUGAGGCGCGAAAGUGCCGGGAGCAAACAGG